CCUCUGCCUGGAUAGUGGGGGGCACUACGUGGGUAGUGCGGCCUCUCUUGCAGGGACUGACUGCAUCUAGCAGUCGGAAGUUGGAGGCAAUAACAGGUCUGUGAUGCCCUUAGAUGUUCUGGGCUGCACGCGCGCUACACUGACAAAGGCAGCGAGUAUGCCUUGGCCGAGAGGUCUGGGAAAUCUUGUGAAACUUUGUCGUGCUGGGGAUAGAUCAUUGCAAUUAUUGGUCUUGAACGAGGAAUUCCUAGUAAGCGCCAGUCAUUAGCUGGCGCUGAUUACGUCCCUGCCCUUUGUACACACCGCCCGUCGCUACUACCGAUUGGAUGUGUUAGUGAGGUCUUCCAAAGAAAACGCACUCCGUCAGGAGGGCGUUUUCUGUAGUUGAACAAACUUGCACAUCUAGAGGAAGUAAAAGUCG
rnacentral:rRNA from 1 species